CAUGCAAGUCGAGCGGGCACCUUCGGGUGUCAGCGGCAGACGGGUGAGUAACACGUGGGAACGUGCCCAUCGGUUCGGAACAACCCAGGGAAACUUGGGCUAAUACCGGAUACGACCUUACGGUGAAAGAUUUAUCGCCGAUGGAUCGGCCCGCGUCUGAUUAGCUAGUUGGUGAGGUAACGGCUCACCAAGGCGACGAUCAGUAGCUGGUCUGAGAGGAUGAUCAGCCACACUGGGACUGAGACACGGCCCAGACUCCUACGGGAGGCAGCAGUGGGGAAUAUUGGACAAUGGGCGCAAGCCUGAUCCAGCCAUGCCGCGUGAGUGAUGAAGGCCUUAGGGUUGUAAAGCUCUUUUGUCCGGGACGAUAAUGACGGUACCGGAAGAAUAAGCCCCGGCUAACUUCGUGCCAGCAGCCGCGGUAAUACGAAGGGGGCUAGCGUUGUUCGGAAUUACUGGGCGUAAAGCGCACGUAGGCGGAUUGUUAAGUGAGGGGUGAAAUCCCAGGGCUCAACCCUGGAACUGCCUCUCAUACUGGCAAUCUCGAGUUCGAGAGAGGUGAGUGGAAUUCCGAGUGUAGAGGUGAAAUUCGUAGAUAUUCGGAGGAACACCAGUGGCGAAGGCGGCUCACUGGCUCGAUACUGACGCUGA
rnacentral:rRNA from 1 species